rnacentral:rRNA from 1 species
GAUGAACGCUGGCGGCGUGCUUAACACAUGCAAGUCGAACGGAAAGGCCCAAGCUUGCUUGGGUACUCGAGUGGCGAACGGGUGAGUAACACGUGGGUGAUCUGCCCUGCACUUCGGGAUAAGCCUGGGAAACUGGUCUAAUACUGGAUAGGACCACUUCUUGGAUGUUGUGGUGGAAAGUUUUUUCGGUGUGGGAUGAGCUCGCGGCCUAUCAGCUUGUUGGUGGGGUAAUGGCCUACCAAGGCGUCGACGGGUAGCCGGCCUGGGAGGGUGUACGGCCACAUUGGGACUGAGAUACGGCCCAGACUCCUACGGGAGGCAGCAGUGGGGAAUAUUGCACAAUGGGCGCAAGCCUGAUGCAGCGACGCCGCGUGGGGGAUGACGGCCUUCGGGUUGUAAACUCCUUUCGCUAGGGACGAAGCGUUUUGUGACGGUACCUGGAGAAGAAGCACCGGCUAACUACGUG